GAUGUGAUGGAAGUUGCCAGCGAUAUGCCUGUUACCGCCGAGCGGGUGAAAGACCGCCGAGCGGAUGAAAGUUAUUGUUGAGCAUGUGUAUGCUAAAUAAUAUGAUCUGUGUUACGAGAGUUGAAGUGAACUAGUAUAUGAAGCAUGGGUAACACUAAGGAAAAACUAAGUCAUUAGAGUAGAGAUUAUGGAAACUGAAUUCAUUAUAGUAGUUAAUCACAGUAGUGAAGAUGUGUGAGAGGAACUAGCUGUGGAGAGCUUAGCUGCAGAGAGGUAGUGAGAGUUGUGUUUACGUGGUAAAGUCGAUGACAUAGCGCGAAGAGUAGAUAAGACACUGAGGGAUCUCUGUAGAGGAAUGAGUCACCCAGGUGUGAGGUGCCGAGGGCCAGCAGGAACGAAGCCCGGUGAGACAGAUUCCUUUGUACCGCCACCGAGUUAUGGUGUGACUACUUCAGGAAAGAUCGGACCUCUACAAUACAGACGCAGGUGUUGCUCGGUGACGCCUCCUUAAGACCCCAAACACAUUUUCAACGAUCCACUGCUAGUGGGCGAAGCUGCAACCUCUACUGCACCAAGAAAACCAGCAAUGUCCUAGUGUGCAUCUUCUACGGAUACAAAUGUGACACCACGCGAUACUUCUACGCCCUGUACUUCCAAGCGAUCAGCCAAAAGGACACAUGACGAUGCAGAUGACGUAAUUAGGGAAGCCCUCCAGCAAAUGAGGGAAUUGUCGUCUACACAAGACACUGCCGAUGAGUUCACUGAUUUUGCAAAAGUAAUUGCAAACGACUUGCGACAACUGACGGGUGAAACCCAAAUUGUGGCACAAAAAUUAAUAUAUGACGUUAUAUUUCUUGCUAAACUUGGUAAACUUUCAACUUCCUCAAUGGUUAAACAGUAAUUCAUAAUCUAGAUGGGUUUACACAUAGUGCAUUUUUUAUUUUGAGUUUGGAUUGUGUUCCAGCCCCCUAAAAAUAAAUGGACAUUGUAAAGUGUGAACACACACACACACACACACACACACGUAUGUAUACAUAUACGAGUAUAUGCGGGAGCAGACACAGAUGUAUCCAUAUACAUAUAUGCUAAAGUAUAUAUGUAAUUGAUAGAAAUAGCACUAUUAUUUCAUAUAAACACAGCUGGGCCUUUAUUACACUUAACAUAAGCAUACAUAAUGGACAAUACACUAUGUACUAAGCUCAAUAAAGUUGUUUUGCAUUA